AUAUUACCACUAGAUCCCGCGUAAAGGCGUCAAAAGUAACCAAACAAAACAGUGCUUAGAUUCAUAUUAAGCACUGUUUUGCCGUCAGUGUCACGCCGACCGUCGAAUGGAACGAUCCUAAAAUGCGCUGUAAAAAGAUGUAAAAAACACGCUUAUAAAGAGAAAACAACAUGAAAUUUAGUAUUUUUGAUUUAAUAACAGAGUAAUAAAAGAAAAAAGAAGCAACAAUUAUUUCAAACCUAAUUGCUCCAGUGUGGUUUGUGCAGACCAUUUUACCGAAUCUGACAUGUAUUUAAUAAAUAAAACAAUUUGAUGGGGA